rnacentral:rRNA from 1 species
UACAGAGGUCCCAAGCGUUGUUCCGAUUCACUGGGCGUAAAGGGUGCGUAGGUGGCCAGGUAAGUUUGGUGUGAAAGCUCGGAGCUUAACUCCGAAAAGUCAUUGAAUACUAUCUGGCUGGAGGGUCGGAGGGGAGACUGGAAUUCUCGGUGUAGCGGUGAAAUGCGUAGAUAUCGGGAGGAACACCUGUGGCGAAAGCGGCUCACUGGACCACAACUGACGCUGAGGCGCGAAAGCUAGGGGAGCAAACAGG